rnacentral:rRNA from 1 species
GUCCUUUUGAUUUUUAUAUAAGGUCUGACCUGCCCUAUGAAUAUUUAAAUGGCCGCGGUAUACUAACCGUGCAAAGGUAGCAUAGUCAUUUGUCUCUUAAUUGGAGGCUUGAAUGAAGGGUUGGACGAGAUAUGAGCUUUCUUUGUUAUAUUUUAUUGAAUUUGACUUUUGAGUUAAAAGGCUUAAAUUUUUUUAUAGGACGAGAAGACCCUAUAGAAUUUUAUAUAUUUGUAUAAUUGAUUUAUUUAUUUAUUUUUUAAUUUCUUGUUUAAAUAUAUUUUGUUGGGGCGAUGGGAAGAUUUUAAUAACUCUUUUUUGUUUUGAUCAUUGAUUUAUGUUUUAUUCUGAUCCUUUUUUAGAGAUUAUAAGAUUAAAUUACCUUAGGGAUAACAGCGUAAUUCUUUUGGAGAGUUCUUAUCGAUAAAAGAGUUUGCGA